AUGGGGUCGGAUCUGGUGGUGCUAGGUCGGAGCUCGAUCCCCCGCCUCCCGAACCAGCCGUCGCCGCGUCGCUGGGGCUCGUCCGCCGCGGGUUUCCAUGGGGAAUCACCACAACAGCAGCACGCCUCCCUCCUUCCUCCUCAUCGCCAGAGCCGCCGCACCUCUCCUUCCUCCUCGCUCUCACCCUUGCCGCGGCGCGCAUCCCUCCCCUUUCGAUCUAAUUUCAUUCUUGUUUCACAUGUUGGUUUGGUUGGCAAGAGACGUUGCAGCGCCGACUGCAGUAGCCAGGGUUGGCGUUGGUGA
rnacentral:rRNA from 1 species